CUGUAACCUCUGGUAGAAAAGUCGGUCGCUCCCAUCGGUACUCUGAUUAGAUUGUACUGUAUCCCAUCCUCGGAGAAAAAGGAUCUAUGCGAAGAUCAAAGAUGAGAAUAACCAACGAUCGAUUUAGGUGGAAAAAAAAUUUUUCAUCUCACUUCAAAAACUCCUCCUGAGCGGAUUCGGACAAGUCUCGAAUGUUCAUCCCCGCCGCGUCAGUUGCUGAGGUACCAAAACCGAUAAUCUCUUGCUACUACUGAAAAACUUGAUAUUCUUACUCACCGGUGGGAUUUUUCUUCGCAAAAUUUCCCUCGGAUAUAAGAAAUCUCUGACCAUUCUUACCGGACGACACCAAAGUGUAUUUCCCUUCUCCACGGGGUUGAAAAACUUGAGGCACGUCGUCGCAGUAUGUGGAAUUGCAGACGCAAUAAACGCUGCUUGACAUCGAAGGGUUCGUUGGUUUUCUUGGAGAACAUCUCCGAGGUUCGCCGAGGGCUGUAAAAUCGAAUUUCUGACGUCAAAUUUCGUCUGUCCCUAUACCAAGGACUCAACGAAUCGCAGAAUAAUUUCGACUAUUCUUGGAAUCUGAACGAGCCAUUUUCAGAGACCGAAUAAAAAAUAGCACGA
rnacentral:misc_RNA from 1 species